rnacentral:rRNA from 1 species
CAGUACUGACGCUGAGAUGCGAAAGCGUGGGGAGCAAACAGGAUAGAUACCCUGGUAGUCACGCUGUAAACGAUGUCGAUUUGGAGUUGCUACCUGAGUGGUGGGCUCCGAAGCUAACGCGAUAAAUCAACCGCUGGGGAGUACGGCCGCAAGGUUAAAACUCAAAUGAAUUGACGGGGGCCCGCACAGCGGUGGAGCAUGUGGUUUAAUUCGAUGCAACGCGAAGAACCUUACCUGGUCUUGACAUCCAUAGAACACUUUAGAGAUAGAGUGGUGCCUUCGGGAGCUAUGAGACAGGUGCUGCAUGGCUGUCGUCAGCUCGUGUUGUGAAAUGUUGGGUUAAGUCCCGCAACGAGCGCAACCCUUAUCCUUUGUUGCCAGCACGUAGAGGUGGGAACUCAAAGGAGACUGCCGUUGAUAAAGCGGAGGAAGGUGGGGACGACGUCAAGUCAUCAUGGCCCUUACGACCAGGGCUACACACGUGCUACAAUGGCGUAUACAAAGGGAGGCGACCUCGCGAGAGCAAGCGGACCUCAUAAAGUACGUCUAAGUCCGGAUUGGAGUCUGCAACUCGACUCCAUGAAGUCGGAAUCGCUAGUAAUCGUGAAUCAGAAUGUCACGGUGAAUACGUUCCCGGGCCUUGUACACACCGCCCGUCACACCAUGGGAGUGGGUUGCACCAGAAGUAGAUAGCUUAACCGCAAGGGGGGCGUUUACCACGGUGUGGUCCAUGACUGGGGUGAAGUCGUAACAAGGUAACCAAGGGCGAAUUCUG